UUCUAAAAGAAAAUUGUUCCACAGUUUUCCAUGCUCAAUCAAAUGAGAUAAAGAAAAAAAUUGAAA